rnacentral:rRNA from 1 species
UGAGUAGGGCGGGACACGUGGUAUCCUGUCUGAAUAUGGGGGGACCAUCCUCCAAGGCUAAAUACUCCUGACUGACCGAUAGUGAACCAGUACCGUGAGGGAAAGGCGAAAAGAACCCCGGCGAGGGGAGUGAAAAAGAACCUGAAACCGUGUACGUACAAGCAGUGGGAGCCUCUUAAUGGGGUGACUGCGUACCUUUUGUAUAAUGGGUCAGCGACUUAUAUUCUGUAGCAAGGUUAACCGAAUAGGGGAGCCGAAGGGAAACCGAGUCUUAACUGGGCGUUAAGUUGCAGGGUAUAGACCCGAAACCCGGUGAUCUAGCCAUGGGCAGGUUGAAGGUUGGGUAACACUAACUGGAGGACCGAACCGACUAAUGUUGAAAAAUUAGCGGAUGACUUGUGGCUGGGGGUGAAAGGCCAAUCAAACCGGGAGAUAGCUGGUUCUCCCCGAAAGCUAUUUAGGUAGCGCCUCGUGAAUUCAUCUCCGGGGGUAGAGCACUGUUUCGGCAAGGGGGUCAUCCCGACUUACCAACCCGAUGCAAACUGCGAAUACCGGAGAAUGUUAUCACGGGAGACACACGGCGGGUGCUAACGUCCGUCGUGAAGAGGGAAACAACCCAGACCGCCAGCUAAGGUCCCAAAGUCAUGGUUAAGUGGGAAACGAUGUGGGAAGGCCCAGACAGCCAGGAUGUUGGCUUAGAAGCAGCCAUCAUUUAAAGAAAGCGUAAUAGCUCACUGGUCGAGUCGGCCUGCGCGGAAGAUGUAACGGGGCUAAACCAUGCACCGAAGCUGCGGCAGCGACACUAUGUGUUGUUGGGUAGGGGAGCGUUCUGUAAGCCUGUGAAGGUGUACUGUGAGGUAUGCUGGAGGUAUCAGAAGUGCGAAUGCUGACAUAAGUAACGAUAAAGCGGGUGAAAAGCCCGCUCGCCGGAAGACCAAGGGUUCCUGUCCAACGUUAAUCGGGGCAGGGUGAGUCGACCCCUAAGGCGAGGCCGAAAGGCGUAGUCGAUGGGAAACAGGUUAAUAUUCCUGUACUUGGUGUUACUGCGAAGGGGGGACGGAGAAGGCUAUGUUGGCCGGGCGACGGUUGUCCCGGUUUAAGCGUGUAGGCUGGUUUUCCAGGCAAAUCCGGAAAAUCAAGGCUGAGGCGUGAUGACGAGGCACUACGGUGCUGAAGCAACAAAUGCCCUGCUUCCAGGAAAAGCCUCUAAGCAUCAGGUAACAUCAAAUCGUACCCCAAACCGACACAGGUGGUCAGGUAGAGAAUACCAAGGCGCUUGAGAGAACUCGGGUGAAGGAACUAGGCAAAAUGGUGCCGUAACUUCGGGAGAAGGCACGCUGAUAUGUAGGUGAAGCGACUUGCUCGUGGAGCUGAAAUCAGUCGAAGAUACCAGCUGGCUGCAACUGUUUAUUAAAAACACAGCACUGUGCAAACACGAAAGUGGACGUAUACGGUGUGACGCCUGCCCGGUGCCGGAAGGUUAAUUGAUGGGGUUAGCGGUAACGCGAAGCUCUUGAUCGAAGCCCCGGUAAACGGCGGCCGUAACUAUAACGGUCCUAAGGUAGCGAAAUUCCUUGUCGGGUAAGUUCCGACCUGCACGAAUGGCGUAAUGAUGGCCAGGCUGUCUCCACCCGAGACUCAGUGAAAUUGAACUCGCUGUGAAGAUGCAGUGUACCCGCGGCAAGACGGAAAGACCCCGUGAACCUUUACUAUAGCUUGACACUGAACAUUGAGCCUUGAUGUGUAGGAUAGGUGGGAGGCUUUGAAGUGUGGACGCCAGUCUGCAUGGAGCCGGCCUUGAAAUACCACCCUUUAAUGUUUGAUGUUCUAACGUUGGCCCCUGAUCGGGGUUGCGGACAGUGUCUGGUGGGUAGUUUGACUGGGGCGGUCUCCUCCUAAAGAGUAACGGAGGAGCACGAAGGUUGGCUAAUCCUGGUCGGACAUCAGGAGGUUAGUGCAAUGGCAUAAGCCAGCUUGACUGCGAGCGUGACGGCGCGAGCAGGUGCGAAAGCAGGUCAUAGUGAUCCGGUGGUUCUGAAUGGAAGGGCCAUCGCUCAACGGAUAAAAGGUACUCCGGGGAUAACAGGCUGAUACCGCCCAAGAGUUCAUAUCGACGGCGGUGUUUGGCACCUCGAUGUCGGCUCAUCACAUCCUGGGGCUGAAGUAGGUCCCAAGGGUAUGGCUGUUCGCCAUUUAAAGUGGUACGCGAGCUGGGUUUAGAACGUCGUGAGACAGUUCGGUCCCUAUCUGCCGUGGGCGCUGGAGAACUGAGGGGGGCUGCUCCUAGUACGAGAGGACCGGAGUGGACGCAUCACUGGUGUUCGGGUUGUCAUGCCAAUGGCACUGCCCGGUAGCUAAAUGCGGAAGAGAUAAGUGCUGAAAGCAUCUAAGCACGAAACUUGCCCCGAGAUGAGUUCUCCCUGACUCCUUGAGAGUCCUGAAGGAACGUUGAAGACGACGACGUUGAUAGGCCGGGUGUGUAAGCGCAGCGAUGCGUUGAGCUAACCGGUACUAAUGAACCGUGAGGCUUAACCU